rnacentral:lncRNA from 1 species
AGUAUGUAGCAGAAGCAUAUUCCACAUUUUUUUGAUCAUGAAACCCUAUUUUUUUUCUGAACUACUUAUGUUAUUGUGCUAUAGGGAAAUGUACAAUGGAAAUUUUGAGAAGGUGUUUUAAUAAAGGCAUCUGGACACAAAUCAAUCAAGCAAGUGGUGAUAAAACUAUUGCUAUUAUGUUUAUAAAGAAAUUGCAAUAAUUGUAGUAAAAAUAGCCAUGGACAAAGGUUUGUUGGAGUUGGCAUAAAUAUACUGUUAGACAGAAUUUUUUAGCUUCAGAAAAGCCAAUAUCUAGAGGUGACAGAUCAUGAAUCAAAGAGUAAUUAUAUUCCCACAUCCCCAAUACCUCCACUUUCCAGUAUUAAAAUCAAAGCAAUGAGAAAUAUGAUGUAUUCUAGAUUCAUAGAUAUUUAAUUGAGAAUAUUUAAGUUUCUAAGAAAUUCUUAGAGAUCUAUUCUCUCAGUCAGGCCUAAUUAUAUACAAUCAAUUUUUGUAAAAAAUUUAGAAAGAAUAUGGUCAACAGAUUUUUCAAAUACAGUAAAGAUAUGAACAUCUGCAAAGUAAAGACACCUUUGUUUUUAUUUUCAGAACAUUUUGAAACAAGGAGAUGACAUUCAAUUCUAGAACCCAACAAGCUACCAAGUAAAGAAAUGGAACUGCUAAUCUUCAACCUGUGAUAGAAGAUACAAAAGUAACCAACUGAAUAAUCCUGUUGAUUUGGUUUGUUUUUGAAUUUCUUCUUUUUUCACAUUAUUUUUUUUUUUUUUUUUUUUUUUUUUUUGCUUUUUAGUGCCACACCUGUGGAAUAUGGAGGUUCCCAGGCUGGGGGUCAAAUCAGAGCUAUAACUACAGGCCUACACUGUAGCCACAGCAACGCAGGAUCUGAGCGCGUCUGCAACCUACACCACAACUCACGGCAACACUGGAUCCUUAAUCCAUUGAGCAAGGCCAUAGAUCAAAUUUGCAUCCUCAUGGGUGCUAGUCAGAUUCAUUAAUCACUAAGCCAUGAUGGAACUCCUGUUUUUCUAUUUCUAAUAUUAGGGAAAACCUAGGGGAAUGAUAGGCAUGAAAUGUUAUUUACAACUGAAGAGCCCCCAUGUGCUGAUGGGAACUUAGGUUUUAGUCUUCAGAAGAAAACCUUAAUAGUGCUAUUUUGGAACUAAGAAAGUCUGAAGUUUUCAACAAAUGAUGGCUGUAUAGCCUAUAUUAUGAUGAAAGUAUCACCUACUUCAUAUUUCUGUUCUCUCCUCUUUUUACAAGUCUUUCUUUCCAAGAUCUGUCAGUGCUACUGUAAGAGUUAAAUUAACAUACUCUCGAGAUUAAAGUUUCCCAGGUAGACAUAAGUAUAAACCUUUGAACUCAUAUCAUUUAAAAUAGGCCAAAUGUUACUAGAAAUAGUUAUGUCACACAUUAACGGUGUUGUUCUUGUCCCCAUACUUUUACCCAAGUUUUUGACCAACUUUCAAGAGUUGAUUUGUUCUUGGUUAAUGCACUAUUAUUGAUUAUGCUCAGCCAAAAUUGACCAGUUUGCACAAUGAGUAGAGGAUUGUAAAAGGAGUAAACAGCUUCUAAAGUUUAUCUUUGUAUGUUACAUUAUAGAAAAUCAUGUUUUUACUUCUAUUGUGAGUUAAACUAGGAAUUCUAACUAGGAAAAUGGAAAAAGGUAACUCAUUUAAUCAGACAAAAUUUAGCAUUUUAUAAAUUAGACCUUCAUCCUAUGUGGUUCAUAUGUAUAGAGUUACAUGUAUACAUAAACAUGUUUAUAUAAUUUGUUAUAAUUAAGAAUCUAAUUAUACCAAUAGGCCUAAAGUUUUUCAUGUUAAGUCCUCAUGCUCUUCCUUAUAGACUGUGACAUAAAGAAUAACACUCUCUUGGUCAAAGUCAUUGGAAAUACAUGUACACACAUACACACAUUACAGUUUUUCUACAUUUGUGGUCAAAAAUUGUUAAUGAAAUGUAUGAAAAUGUCAAAGAUUAGUAGAAUUUCUCAAUUAAAAUUUCCAGCUAUCACAAUAAUAAGCAUACACAAUUUCUAGCUGAGUAUUCAAAGCAUGUUAGCUCUUGAUAGCAUUAAUGAUAAUAGCAAUUGCUGACAUUUACUAAGUUUUUGUCAUCAGUCUCAAUACUGGGCCUUUUCGUAAGUAAUUUUAUUAAUCCUUACAGCAAAACCUUGAGAUUCACAUAAGGCUAUCUAUAUUUUAAACAAAACUCGGAAAGGCUAUGCUGCUUGUCCAAAGCAAACAAAACAAAACAAAACAAACCCACAAAACAGUGGAGCUGGGAUGAGAACUUAAAACAGUGCAGUCCCCAAACAUCGGUUCUUGAAUCAUACCAGUAUUUUGCUGAAAGAGCACUGUUUUGGUGUCUCUCUGGUGGCACUUGCCACAAAUGCACAUCAAAAUAAACUUGUUUAAUAUCUAAGUCUUAUCCUACAUAACAUAUAAAAAAUGUUUUAUAUGAAAUUAAGAUUUUUUUUUCUUUUUAGUUUCUGCUACAUAUCUGCACAGUAUCCUUUUCUGUAGUUGAUACUCCAACGAUGAUUAAAUUCAUGUAUGUUCCAAAAAGACUAUAAAAUAAUUUUUCAGCAAGUUAAAAUGGUAGAGAAGAGAAAAAAGUUAGAGAGAAAAGUCCUUCAACUUUUGCCUCUCUCUCCUAUUUAUCUUGAAAUUUUAGGGCUUUAUUGACUUAUUAAUUGACUAUGAUUAUAAAUAAAAUAAGAUGAACUAGGAGAAGAGCGGUAGAGAGGAAAAAUAAGUAAACUAUACAAUAAAAAUUUUAAUACAUCGACAUUUUAUAUUGUUGUUGUUCUCUCAGUUUAUGUUAUUUCUGUCCCCUCUCAGACCUAGCAAAGAAAAAGUAAAACUUCUUUCUUUUUCUCUGUGCUACACAAUUUUAUAGCACUUAUCCCAUUGUGGUGGAAUCAUUUAUAUACUUCCCUGCCUUUCCACUGGACUCUGAAAUCUUUGUGAAUUCUUUUUAUAGCCUCAAUACAAAAUAUUUGCUGAAUUAAUACAUGAAUGAAUGAAUGCAUCAAUCAAUGGAAUUUUCUUUACUGUACUAGGUACUAAAAAUAAAAAAUGACUAAAAUAUAGCUGAGCUCUUAAAGACCUUCUAAUCUACUAUAAAGGACAGAUACAAAGAAAUCAUUACUAAAAUAUAACUGUAAUUAUAGAGCUAUGCAAAUAGAACAGAGAAAGGGCACCUAAUGAGAAAUAGGAAUCCUUAUAAGGUUUUUGUGGGCAAGCGUCUGGGGGAAAAUCCUAUAGACAAUUACCUGAUUGGGUCUUUGACAGAUGAAGGGAGUAUGAGAGAAGAAAGAAUAUACUAAUUAAAGUAGAAAACAUGAACAAGGGCAUAAAAAUGAGAAAUUAUAUAUUGCAUAUGAUGAAUAACAAGCAGUUGACAUUUAAUGGAAUGUAAGGGAAAGAGAUGUUUAGAGAAGGGAUUGCCAACUUGAAUCAGAACUAGCUCUUAAUCAGGAGAUUUAGGUGACGGGAAACCAAAGUCUUUACCCUGGGCAGUUACAGGAUCAGACAUGUGUCUGAGUGACGGUAAAGUUAAAUAACAGAAAAGAGCUCUUUCACUUGUUAAGAUAGAUAUAAAAGGCUUGUACUAGGGUAGGUGUAGAAAACAAGAGGGGAAAAAACCUAAUAAAUGCAGAAUUCUUUCUUCUCUGUACCCACAGCCCAAUAACACUCAGCCUAUUGCAUUAAAAUCAACCACAUUUAACUGGAGUCAAACUUGAAACUAAUGAGUUGUGGGAGAUAUACAAAUGAGGAAAGUCAAAAAUAUACCCUAGGUUUCUUUCUUGGUUAACUGGGAGGAUAGUGAUAUUGAGAUAGAAAAUACAGGCAGAUCACUAGUAGGCUUGGACAAAGGGUAAGAUUCAGAAUGAGGAUACUUAGUGAUCCAUUUCUAGACAUGCUACAUUUGAGAUUUUUGUGAUGUGUCAAGGUAGAGAUGCUCUACAGGUAGAUGAUUGUGAACUGAGUAUGAAUGUGAGGUACAUCUAAGAUUUCUGGAAUUAAGGUCAAGAUACUAUCAGUAUCUGGAUGUUGAACUUACAGCAGAUAGGGACAUGCAAGAGAAUUUAGAACAAGAAGGUGAGGAGCUGAGGAAAUAGUCUUAAGAAACAGCUCCAGUUAAUGGUGGACACAUGAAGAUAGACAUGAAAAGACACAGAAAGCUAAGAUAACGCCUGAUUGGUAAGACAUACAUAAUUAAUAUAUAGUACGGGAAGAUAGACAAUAGAAUCAGAAGAGUUUGAUAUUGAGGACCCAAUGGAAUACAAAAUUUUAAUACUGAAGGGUAAAAAAUGGUAUUGAUUCAAUAGAAUUCCAAUAAUGACAUUUUUAUUUAUUUAUUUAUUUAUUUUGUCUUUUCUAGGGCCGCACCCGUGGCAUAUGGAGGUUCCCAGGCUAAGGGUCUCAUCUGUGCUAUAGCCACCGGCCUAUGCCAGAGCCACAGCCACGCCGUAUCUGAGCCACGUCUGUGACCUACACCACAGCUCAACUCAUGGCAACGCCGGAUCCUUAACCCACUGAGCAAGGCCAGGGAUCGAACCCGCAACCUCAUGGUUCCUAGUCAGAUUUGUUAACCACUGAGCCACGACGGGAACUCCCAAUAAUGACAUUUUUAAAAUGUCCUGGAUUUGGCAGACAGGGAGCCACUGGUGGCCUUCCUCACAAGAGUUUCAGGGGAAAGUAAAGGGAAGGGCCAGGUUGCCCUGGUUAGGCAGAGAAUCUCUGCUCUCUAGGACAUCAAAAUCUCAAGAUGUACUACAGCAAAAAUCCUGCUUUUGUUUAUUUAUUUUUAGUCUGGCCUUUCAUGUUUCUUAAUUGACAAUUUUCCCAAGAAACAUGAAUUAAUAUAAAAAUGGGAUGAACAUACUUUAAGAAAGACAGAUUAGAAGCUAUACAUAUUUACCUAUAACUAAACUCACAAUGAUGUAUUGAAGAAAAUAAUCUGAAAAGGUUAUCAAUGGAGGUCUUGUAAUGAGGAAUAAAGCAUUUCAAAAAUUCUGAAGUGACUAUUUUUAAAUAUUCUCAUUUUUUUAGUCUUCUUUUUAAGGCUAUACUGUGGCCUACGCCAAAGCCACAGCAACUCCAGAUCCAAUCCACAUCUGCAACCUACACCACAGCUUACAGCAAUGCCGGAUCCUUAACCCACUGAGCAAGGCCAGGGAUUGAACCCGCAUCCUCGUGGAUACCAGUUGGGUUCAUUAUCACUGAGCCCCAAUUAAACUUCCAAAAUCCUCAAUUUUUUUGAGAACACUGAUGUGCCCCGACACUUAGCUUGGCUGUAUAUAGAAAACAUAUUCAAAAAAAGAAAAAUAAAGCAGUAUUUCUUUGGGGGGAUUUUUAGAUUUGCUUAUCUAGAUUUGAACAGAAAUUAAAUAAUGCCUAGCAUAUUAUUCUGAGCUGUAAGCCAGUUAAAGUGGUGAUGUAAGAGGAG